AACGCGAUUCCCUUGUUAUCCUCCAAAGUCAGGAGAUGAAGAAGAGAGCGUCCAGAAAAUCCACGGCGGCGAGCCUUCUGGUGUCGCCUCUGCCGGCGGCGACUCCUCAGUCCGCUUCUCCUUCUGCUCCGGUGGAUUCUCCCAAGCCAUUCAUUUUCGAUCUCAAUUCGUCUUCCAAGGCCUCUCGAAAACCAGUACAGUCAGCUUCCAAAUCAAUGGAGGCCUUGAGGUCUCCGCCGUCUCAGAAAACCCUAAGGUCUACCUCUGACCUCAGGCAAUGGACCUCUUCGAGCUUGGACUCCCUCAAGCGCCAUCUCGAUUGCUCUCACUCCGAGAUCAUCAGGGACGCUGAAGCCUCUCAGUCUCGCAUCCACAAACGAUUCAAGAUUCAGAGCCAGGCAUGCCAACAAGUGAUGGAUGAAGCAGAGAAGGAAUACAAAAAGAUGUCUGAACGGAUCAGUGAGAAUCAAGAAGCAAUGAAGGCUUCAUACACAGAGUUCAUGGCAGAAGCACAAGCUUCAGCAUCUCGUGUCUGCAAGACAUCAAUACCUGAGAUAUCACAAUCCUUCAAGAAAGCCAUUGAUGUUCUCCAGAACCGUUUUGGGAUUCCGUCGACUGCAGUAUAAACUGGCUGAAGUUCCUUGAGCCAAGCUUGCAGAUAAGUGGCUGAUGAAGCAGAGAAGGGAUCCAAUUAGAUUCGUGAGUCGAAUACUGAAUUGAAAGCAACGAAGCGUGGUUUACAGCAGAAGCAUAGGUACUGCAACUCAUGGUAUGUUUGCUUGCUUUGAAAUUUUGGACAAAUUUUGAAUGUGAUAUGGUGUUUAAAACAAGUCUCUUUAGUUUGCAUGGGGUGGAUUGUUUAGCUAAUAGCUUCCACCCAAGGAUGCCUGACAAAAUUAACUUUUUGAUUGAAUUAUUGAUGUUACUUGAUACAGUUCAGUGUUUUUAGAUAUGAUAUAUGAACAAAUAUACUAAUUAACUACUAA